UCGAGCGAUUUGUAGCCGCCAUCUUGGAUUUUGAGAGAAAUUUAAAAACGGGUUUUCAUUUUUGCUCUAAAUCCAAGAUGGCGGCAACAAAAAACACCGGGUAAACGCCUACAUUACAGGCUAAAAACCUGUGAGAUUCACACAUUUCUCACUCUCCAGUAGAGACUAAACUAAGGUGAAACAUUCUCUUCAGGAACUACAAGCACUUAACGGAAAGGUAGAAAAACUCAAAGGUCUUCUUGUGAAAGCUCUUCUGGAACAGGAACCUAAGGUGCAGUCAAGAAGUGGCUCCGGGACAACAUGUGUCCCAUACCAGAGCCUUGAAAAUGCUUCAGGCUGCUUGCAAGAUGUGGGGAGUCAACAAAGUGAUAUAAGUGUGAUGAACAUCUGUGAUUCUACGGUAAAGGAACAAGCAAAGCAAGCCUUUGGGAAUUGUAUCUCACUGGGCGAUAUUAAAGAAGAGGCCGAAAUGUUUGAUUUGCAGAGUAUUGUCGAGCAGGCAUCAAUGGAAACGCAGCAACCAAGUAGUGAUAUGUACUUAGCCGGUCAUACAAAAGCACAUGAAAUACAGUUACAAUGUAUAAAACUCGGCGCGUACCCAGAAUAGGCUGAGGGGCGGGGGUGGGUGGGGGGUGCGCAGUCAUAAGUAUCAUAAAAAGCGUAGGAUUUGAAGAUUCCUUUAUAUGAAAUGGCCCACUUUUUGGCGGCCAAAGGGGGAGGGGUGCACCUUGUCUAGCUCCUUACGUAGUCUGGGAAUUGUCAACCAGCAAUUAUCCUUAGAGGGCCUCAAUGGGGAUAACCGUUAUACCGUUAGCUGGAAAAUGGCAAAAAUAUAAGCGUUUAGCGUGAAUUUGAGAAAAA